rnacentral:rRNA from 1 species
AUUGAACGCUGGCGGAAUGCUUUACACAUGCAAGUCGAACGGUAGAGGGGGCAACCCCUCGAGAGUGGCGAACGGGUGAGUAAUAUAUCGGAACGUGCCCAGUCGUGGGGGAUAACGUAGCGAAAGUUACGCUAAUACCGCAUACGAUCUACGGAUGAAAGCGGGGGAUCGCAAGACCUCGCGCGAUUGGAGCGGCCGAUAUCAGAUUAGGUAGUUGGUGGGGUAAAGGCUCACCAAGCCAACGAUCUGUAGCUGGUCUGAGAGGACGACCAGCCACACUGGAACUGAGACACGGUCCAGACUCCUACGGGAGGCAGCAGUGGGGAAUUUUGGACAAUGGACGCAAGUCUGAUCCAGCCAUUCCGCGUGCAGGAUGAAGGCCCUCGGGUUGUAAACUGCUUUUGUACGGAACGAAAAGGUUUCCAUUAAUACUGGGAGCUCAUGACGGUACCGUAAGAAUAAGCACCGGCUAACUACGUG